rnacentral:rRNA from 1 species
AGUGAACGCUGGCGGUAUGCCUAAUACAUGCAAGUCGAACGGCAACACAGUAAGAUCUUUCUCUUACGGUUGGCGAGGGGCGGACGGGUGAGGCAUACAUCAGAUUCUACUUUUUCGUGGGUGAUUACGGAGGGAAACAUCUGCUAAUAGCUCAUAUGUCCUACGGGUUGAUUCAAUAGUUCUUCGCGGCUUUCGCGACUCUUUUAGCCGGUGUCGGAUUAGCUAGUUGGCGGGGUAAAGGACCACCAAGGCAACGAUCCGUAGCUGAUCUGAGAGGAUGAUCGGCCACACUGGAACUGAGACACGGUCCAGACUCCUACGGGAGGCAGCAGUAGGGAAUAUUGGACAAUGGGCGCAAGCCUGAUGGAGCAACGCCGCGUGGGUGAAGAAGGCCUUCGGGUUGUAAAGCUCUGUUAUUGGGAAAGAAAAAAUGCGGAUGAAUACACGCACGUCUUGACGGUACCUAAACAAAAAGCCCCGGCUAACUUCGUG